GACGUAGGGGGCGAGCGUUGUCCGGAUUUAUUGGGCGUAAAGAGCUCGUAGGCGGCUCAGAAAGUCGGGUGUGAAACCUCCAGGCUCAACCUGGAGACGCCACCUGAUACUGCUGUGGCUAGAGUCCGGUAGGGGAACACGGAAUACCCGGUGUAGCGGUGAAAUGCUUAGAUAUCGGGUGGAACACCAGUGGCGAAGGCGGUGUUCUGGGCCGGAACUGACGCUGAGGAGCGAAAGCGUGGGGAGCGAACAGG
rnacentral:rRNA from 1 species